rnacentral:rRNA from 2 species
CCUACGGGAGGCAGCAGUGGGGAAUAUUGGACAAUGGGCGCAAGCCUGAUCCAGCCAUGCCGCGUGAGUGAUGAAGGCCUUAGGGUUGUAAAGCUCUUUCACCGGUGAAGAUAAUGACGGUAACCGGAGAAGAAGCCCCGGCUAACUUCGUGCCAGCAGCCGCGGUAAU